rnacentral:lncRNA from 1 species
AGUCUCAGGCAGAGGCACUCUGCUUCCAGUCACAGGAGAGUUUCCCAAUCUGAGAGGAGUCCAGCAAGCUCACAGAAAAAUUGUCUUGUUGUGGCUGAGGAAUGUAGAGCAAUGGCAGCACUCAUGAGUGAGGUAAGAAAAUGGGCUUAAUCCAUAGCAUGAAACAUUUUAUUCAUUGCUAAUCCCAUUGCUUAAGAAAAGCAGAUUUGGGG